rnacentral:rRNA from 1 species
CAACUUUCAACAACGGAUCUCUUGGCUCUCGCAUCGAUGAAGAACGCAGCGAAAUGCGAUACGUAAUGUGAAUUGCAGAAUUCAGUGAAUCAUCGAAUCUUUGAACGCACCCUGCGCCCCUUGGCAUUCCGAGGGGCACACCCGUUUGAGUGUCGUGA